rnacentral:rRNA from 1 species
AUUGAACGCUGGCGGCGUGCCUAACACAUGCAAGUCGAGCGGUAACAGGUGUAGCAAUACAUGCUGACGAGCGGCGGACGGGUGAGUAACGCUUGGGAAUCUGCCUGUUAGUGGGGGACAACCCGGGGAAACGUCGGGCUAAUACCGCAUACGCACUACGGUGGAAAGGCCGGGGACCGGCAAGGCCUGGCGCUAACGGAUGAGCCCAACGUCGGAUUAGCUAGUUGGUAGGGUAACGGCCGUACCAAGGCGACGAUCCGUAACUGGUCUGAGAGGACGACCAGUCACACCGGAACU